GAUGAACGCUGGCGGCGUGCUUAACACAUGCAAGUCGAACGGUGAAGCCGGAGCUUGCUCUGCUGGACCAGUGGCGAACGGGUGAGUAACACGUGAGCAAUCUGCCCCUGACUCUGGGAUAAGCGCUGGAAACGGCGUCUAAUACUGGAUACGAGCUGCGAAGGCAUCUUCAGCAGCUGGAAAGAACUUCGGUCAGGGAUGAGCUCGCGGCCUAUCAGCUUGUUGGUGAGGUAGCGGCUCACCAAGGCGUCGACGGGUAGCCGGCCUGAGAGGGUGACCGGCCACACUGGGACUGAGAGACGGCCCAGACUCCUACGGGAGGCAGCAGUGGGGAAUAUUGCACAAUGGGCGGAAGCCUGAUGCAGCAACGCCGCGUGAGGGACGACGGCCUUCGGGUUGUAAACCUCUUUUGGCAGGGAAGAAGCGAAAGUGACGGUACCUGCAGAAAAAGCGCCGGCUAACUACGUG
rnacentral:rRNA from 1 species